UGGUCAAGUUAUUAAGGGUGCAGGGCGGAUGCCUUGGCACUAGGAGCCGAUGAAGGACGUGAUAAGCUGCGAUAAGCUUCGGGGAGUUGCACGUAAACUUUGAUCCGAAGAUUUCCGAAUGAGGAAACUCACUUAGAGUAAUGUCUAAGUAUCAUUAAGUGAAUACAUAGCUUAAUGAGGGGAACUCAGGGAACUGAAACAUCUAAGUACCUGAAGGAAGAGAAAGAAAUUCGAUUCCGUAAGUAGCGGCGAGCGAACGCGGAUUAGCCCAAACCAAUAAAGUUUUCUUUAUUGGGGUUGCGGACAUAUCAUAA
rnacentral:rRNA from 1 species